rnacentral:rRNA from 1 species
AGUUCGGAUUGUAGGCUGAAACUCGCCUACAUGAAGCUGGAGUUACUAGUAAUCGCAGAUCAGAAUGCUGCGGUGAAUGCGUUCCCGGGUCUUGUACACACCGCCCGUCCCACCACGGGAGUUGGAGACGCCCGAAGCCGAUUAUCUAACCUUUUGGAAGAAGUCGUCGAAGGUGGAAUCAAUAACUGGGUUGAAGUCGUCACGAGGUAGCCGUAUCGGAAGGUGGGGCUGGCACACGCCCUUGCCAAGGAA